GUUCUCCAAAAAUUUUCCCACUGGCACCCAGAGCCACCGGGGGCCUCAGCUCACCACCCACUGCCUCGUGCGCAAGGGUGAAACCCAGGGCUCCAAUAGUC
rnacentral:snoRNA from 1 species